UUCGUCUUGGACUCCGGCCCAGAAUUCCUUCACUUUUUCUGUGUUGCCAGCGCUGGAGGGGAGGUCACUAACGCCUGUGGCCUCAACAGAGGGUGCAGUCUGACUCUUGGCUCCCUUGUCCAUCCUCACAGAUAGCUUCCAGUUUUUAUUCACCAGAUCAUUCUCCAAGAACUGGUGCACCGAAGUGGUGGUUUGGUGUAAGCCUUCCUGACCUACUCAGAAAUUCCCUGAUGGACCCUGACCGCGAUGACCAACACCCAGACGCACUCCUGUCACUGGAGACACGCAGAGCAAGGACGGGAAUUGUUCCAGCAGACGUGCCCUGAACCCCCGUUUGAAGGACAAUCAGCAGGAUGUCUUCUUUCACCCACGCACAGAACCAAACGACAGUGCAAGAAACAGAACCAAGUGGAAGAGAUGAAAUCAAGCAGCUCAAAGCUUAUUGGUAGGAAAUGAAGACAUGCGCCACAGACACACAAAGAUGAGAUGCAGUGCUUCACUCGAGACCAGCCCUAGGCCUAGAGAUAGACACACCCACAGCAACGUUUUAUGGGGGUUUGAAAAGAAAAACUAACUUCUUUUAAAAAUAGAGGAGUUUGGACAGAAACAUAGAAGAGAAGGCCAUUGGGAGACAGAGGCAAAUACUGCAGCGACUCAGCCACAAGUUCGGCAGCGCCUAGAAGCACCAGAAGCUAAAAAAGACAAGCAAGGGUCAACCCCUCUCCCUAGAGCCUUCAGAGAAGUGUGUGUCCCCACCAACACCUUGAUUUUGGACUCUGGCCUCCAAAAAUGUAAGAAGAUCAAUGUCUAUUGCUUUAAGUAAAAAAAAAAAAAGGAGGGGUGGGGAGUAGUUUUUAUCUUUGUAGAUCCCAAUUUACUCACUCAUUCAUCCAAUACAGUUGGCUGAUUGCCUGUAUGUGCCAGUCAGGACUGAGGACGCAGGGUGAGUGAGUCAGGCUCCCGGCCGCAUCAGCUGCUCCCAUUGGACAGAGGAGAGAUGGAAACGACCACAGGCCAGUGGCAUGAAUUCUUUGACAACACAGUGACCAGGGCUGCUGGACUGAACUCAGAAUGCAAUCGCUCUAGUGUGACAUAUCCAUUUUAAUCUGUAUAGCAAUUGAACAGUUCUUUCUCAGUCACUGAAGCAAACCAACAGAUGGUUAUUUAAUUGUUUGUAAAACCAAACAUUAACUACUGGUCUUGGUAAUAUAUCUCUUCUGCUACGGGUCAGAAAACAGAUCUCAGGCAAUAGUCUGGAAGACGCUAAAAAAACAUCCAAAGACAAAAUGUGGAAACUAAGAUUUCAGUUUUGUUGUUUUUUGUGUUGUUUUUUUUUUAAUUAAAAAAUAGAAGUACAA